UACGUAGGGGGCAAGCGUUGUCCGGAAUCAUUGGGCGUAAAGCGCGUGUAGGCGGCUCGGUAAGUCUGCUCUGAAAGCCCGGGGCUCAACCCUGGGAGGCGGGUGGAUACUGCUGAGCUCGGAGUCCGGAAGAGGCGAGUGGAAUUCCUGGUGUAGCGGUGAAAUUCGUAGAUAUCAGGAGGAACACCGUGGCGAAGGCGGCUUCCUGGACAACCAACUGACGCUGAGACGCGAAAGCGUGGGGAGCAAACAGG
rnacentral:rRNA from 1 species